CUAGUGGUUUUAUUUAAAACCAUGAUAGAGUUUUCAAAAAUAUGUAU
rfam:Erinaceus europaeus unplaced genomic scaffold scaffold00110, whole genome shotgun sequence